CCUACGGGUGGCAGCAGUGGGGAAUAUUGCACAAUGGAGGGAACCCUGAUGCAGCGACGCCGCGUGAGGGAAGAAGUAUUUCGGUAUUUAAAGCUCUAUUAGCAGGGGAGAAAAUGACGGUACCUGACUAAGAAUCACCGGCUAACUCCGUUCCAGCAGCCGCGAUAAUGCGUAGGGGGCAAGCGUUAUCCGGAUUUACUGGGUGUAAAGGGGGCGUAGACGGUUGUGCAAGUCUGAAGUGAAAGCCCAAGGCUCAACCAUGGGACUGCUUUGGAAACUGGUAAACUGGAGUGCAGGAGAGGUAAGCGGAAUGGUUGGUGUAGCGGUGAAAUGCGUAGAGAUUA
rnacentral:rRNA from 1 species